ACUGCUCAGUAACACGUGGACAAUCUACCUUAGGGGGGGGAAUAACCUCGGGAAACUGAGGACAAAACCCCAUAGGCGGCAUGUACUGGAAUGUCUGCCGCUGAAACGAGAAAACCCGUAUCCGGUCCAUCACCCUAAGACGAGUCUGCGGUGGAUUAGCCUGACGGCAGGGUAACGGCCUACCGUAGCUACGAUCCGUACCGGCCAUGAGAGUGGGAGCCGGGAGAUGGACACUGAGACAAAGGUCCAGGCUCUACGGAGCGCAGCAGUCGCGAAACCUUCGCAAUGCGCGUAAGCGUGACGAGGGGACCCCAAGUGCGCACGCACUGCGUGUGCUUUUACGGAGUCUAAAAAGCUCCGGGAAUAAGGGCUGGGUAAGACUGGUGCCAGCCUCCGCGGUAACACCAGCAGCUCAAGUGGUGACCACGUUUACUGGGUUUAGAGCGUGCGUAGUCGGUUCAGCAAGUUUUCUGUGAAAUCCAGCGGCUUAACCGUUGAGCUUGCAGAAAAUACUACUGGGCUCGAGGCCGGAGUAGGCGUGGGGUAUUCUGGGGGUAGCGGUGAAAUGCUAUAAUCCCCGGAGGACCACCAGUAGCGAAGGCGCCACGCUGGAACGGGCCUGACGAUGAGGCACGAGAGCUAGGGGAGCGAACAGGAUUAGAUACCCUGGUAGUCCUAGCUGUAAACGAUGUGGGUUGAGUGUUCCCCGAACCUCGUGUUCGGGGAGUGCUGUAGGGAAACCGUUAAACCCACCACCUGGGGAGUACGGUCGCAAGGCUGAAACUUAAAGGAAUUGGCGGGGGAACACCACAAGGGGUGGAUGCUGCGGUUCAAUUGGAGUCAACGCCGGG
rnacentral:rRNA from 1 species